GAAUCAGGCUCUGUUUUUCAUCAGAUCACCUAUUAAUGCAUAAAGAAUUAUUAAAGUACUGCCAUUAAUCCUGCUGAAAGAAAAGCUGUGUUAAUCAUUUUGGUUUUGCCUUUAUGGGGGUAAAACCAUGACAGAUGGACAUGGACAAUU